rnacentral:rRNA from 1 species
AGAGUUUGAUCAUGGCUCAGGAUGAACGCUAGCUACAGGCUUAACACAUGCAAGUCAGGGGCAUCAGUUUGGUUUGCUUGCAAACCAAAGGCUGGCGACCGGCGCACGGGUGAGUAACACGUAGUCCAACCUGCCUCAUACUCGGGGAUAGCCUUUCGAAAGAAAGAUUAAUAUCCGAUAGCAUAUAUUUCCCGACAUGGGUUUUAUAUUAAAGAAAUUCGGUAUGAGAUGGGGAUGCGUUCCAUUAGUUUGUUGGCGGGGUAACGGCCCACCAAGACUACGAUGGAUAGGGGUUCUGAGAGGAAGGUCCCCCACAUUGGAACUGAGACACGGUCCAAACUCCUACGGGAGGCAGCA